AGCCUAUUAUUAUUUAUUAAAAAACUACGAAAUGCACAGUAACAUGUGCCAUCGUUUGGGUGUCAUUACUGUAGAAAAAUGUAUUCCUCUAUCACAUCACAUGCGCACCAUGUGAAAGUUAGUCCAAAUGGUGUUAUGCAUGUAUAUGGGCAACUUCCAAUUUUACCCCUAUCUUGAUACGUGAGCACGUAUUGUUCCAAAAAAUCAUGCAUCUUUGACUUUUCCAAGCUCACUUCGAUAGAUUUUGUUGUCAAUUCAGUGUCAGAAAUAAGGAGUAAAGAAAGCAUUUUUGACCUUUCCAAGUUCACCUUGACAGAUUGUUGUCAAUUCAGUGUUAGAAAUGAGGAGUAAAUAAAGGGAAAUUUACAAAAAUGUCUAAUUUCAUGUUAUCGAUUGAAAAGUGUCUAAUUGUGAUAGCUCUUACAAAAGUAGUGAAAUUUGAUAUCAAAUUAUCUAUAUACCCUUAAUGAAAAAUGAAGCAAUUCUUUUUUCUUUUUUUCUUUUUUUCAAUUUAUCGCUAAUUUCUAGAAGAACAAGUAGUUUCCUUAAGAAGCUACAUUAAUGCUAGCUAAUAUUAUCUAAUGGAUUUAUUUUCUUUCAUUAUCCAUUAAGAUCCUAUUUGAUUCUAUUAAUUUCACUUUAAUUUAUUUUUCAACCAAAAAUUCACACAAGACAUUGGCAAAUUUCAAGUCGAAUACAGUUAUCCCCUACAAUGGUAAUUUUGGUCUCUAUUCAUUUUUAUACAGUUAACAAAAAGGAAAUAUAUAUAUAUAUAUAUAUAUAUAUAUAUAUAUAUAUAUAUAUAUAUAUAUAUAUAUAUAUACCUAAAUUAUGUAUAAUUUGCGCAUCAAUAUUUUUAAAAACCUCACAACUAGUACGCCAAAACACCCGAACAAUUGUUAGAUUGUUUUAACCUACACA
rnacentral:lncRNA from 1 species